ACUUACCAGAAGAAUUAGAAGAAGAAGGAACAGUAAGUGAAGAAAAAGAAGAGGAACUAGGAGUAGAUUUAAAAGUUGAACAUCUGGACGAGGCUGAACAAGUCCAACCUGACAAACAUCUGGACGAGGCUGAACAAGUCCAACCUGACGAACAUCUGGACGAGGCUGAACAAGUCCAACCUGAAGAGGAUAAUAACGAGAUUAAAGAAGAACUUUAAUUCGUUCAAAUUUGUGCAAUCUUCACCUUACGUGUCAAUUGCGAAUAAUAUACACCAAUAUAUGUAUGAAAUAUUGUGUAAUGUAAAAUGAAAAUAAAGAAAUUCUUCUGUCGCAGUC